rnacentral:rRNA from 6 species
UUGACCUCGGAUCAGUAGA